GGUUGGUCCAAGGGUAAUGGUGUUUACAACUAAUUGAUCACAACCAGUGACAGAUUUCUUUGUUCCUUCUCCAUUCCCACUACUUCACUUGAACAGCCGUCC
rnacentral:Y_RNA from 1 species